rnacentral:lncRNA from 1 species
AUGUCUGGGAUUUCAGGAUAUAGGAGCCUUGCACCUAAAACGAAGAAUGCUAUAGUUGCUGGGGGGCUGUCAGCUUUUGUCUUUGGAGUAUACUUCUACACCAUGAGAGCUGUUGGAGGCACAGAUGAAUUGCAAGUGGCUAUAAAUAAGUUUGAGGAGGAAAAAGGUCAGAAGGAGGCUGAAGCAAGCAUGCCAUCAAAGGCUUGA